CCUGUUCCAGUGUGUCCACACAUGUGGCACCUCCUCUUGGAAAAGGGCUUCUGACCUCUUUGCUUUCUUGCAGUGUAGCAGGGAUGGAGGUGGGCGCAGCUCGGGGCAGCCGUGCAGGUUCUGCUUUCCAUCCUUUCAGAGCUAUUUGCAGAAAACAACGCCGUGGCACUGCAGAGGGAGGCAGGCUGCGAGCCUCAACGCUGUCAGAGUUGGUUUCUUUUGUAGCCCGACUUCCUGAGGAAGCAAAGCUUGUGUAGCAGUGGGGGGCCGGGCCCUCAGAGGCCCCCCAGAGCUCCAGACCCCAGGCAGCAGCUGGGGGGUGUAGGGCUGCUGGGAGCCCACGUGUGCUCAGACAGCACUCACACCUCUACAUAAAGUGCCUGUGUGCAUAACGCCCGCAGCGUGCAUACGUAUAUCUGAUCCCGAAUGUCUGCUUUUUGAAUGGCAGUUGGUUUCCUCGCUGCUCCCUUUGCAUCCGUACUGUGUGUAGCUGUGUUUUUUUUCUCACCAGCGUUUGUAACUGGGCUGGUUCUGUACAAAGGAGCACCUCUGGCCGUGGGCAGAGAGCAGUGAUGUCAGGGCACGGAGCUGCCUUCCUGCAAGCUCUGCUGCCGUUGCAUUGUUUAAUCUUCAGAGCGUUAAACUUUAGAGUUACUCAGACAUCACACAGUGAAAAAUAAUAACAGUUGGAAUGGCUGGUGGUGAAAGUAACUGGAGUGGCAGAGGAUAUGAAAAUGUGAAUUCAGCAGGCGUUUCCCACCGCUGGUUUUAUUGGCUGCGGAGGAGAAUCAGUUUUCUGCCGCACGCAGGUGCACCUCAGAUGUUCAAUAGCAGCUUCUGAAGGCCUCCCUGCUCACGCUACAAAUGUUCCUGCAGCUUUGCUGAUGGUGGGAGCUCCCUGCUUUUGAGGAUGAGGGCUGCAGCAGCGCAGCAACCGACAGCCAGCACCGCCCAGUUGGCAAAAUGCAUUUGUGCCGUUCGCAAUGGGUUGAAAUGCUUCUGUGCUGGGUGCUGCCCAUCACCCUGGGAGUGUUGUGCGAGUGAAAGCAGCCCCAUUGGGUGCCCUUUGGUCUGAGUGAAGCACUUGGGGAAGGAGCUGUGGGUUCUGAUGCUGCUUGGAUGGCUCUCAGUCGCACCUAAGGAACCAGACGUGCUGUGUACACAGGAGGAGUUUAUGCACGUAGGAAUGUGUGUGUGUGCAUCUGCACACAGCUGUGCUGCUCUCCUGGCCCUCCUGCAGCUGAUGUAUGCAGCAGGGGCACAAGGAGAGGAAAGUUUUUUUGCAUCAGUAAAGCACUCCUUUUUCUCCCCCCUCCCCACCUCCCCUCCCCUCCUUGCCCGGUGUUGACCCCUUCUUUGAGCAGCACAGCAAAACUCACAGACUGAAAUCUCCUUUCUCUCUCAUCUUUCUGUUUUUCUAGAUGUUUCCCCUGCCAGUGGCUAAUGGAAAAAACAGACCCACGACCCUAGCAAGCACUCAGUUUGGAGGAUCAGGGAGGAACUGGUUUAGCUAUCCCGCUGCCUGGACAAUUCAGCACCUCCGCUCUGCGCUUUUUUGGCACGACGCAACCCAACAAUUGCCACUAGGAUGGAGCUGACGUCAUGCAGGCCACAGCCACAGCAUUUAUAGCAUGGAGGUUGGCCUUCCUGAGGCUGUGAGCUGCAAGAAGCAUUUUCCAGCCUUGGCCGUGCUGUUUGCUGCUGGCAUUUUAUUUUAGCCCUGGUGCUCAGCGUGCGCCUGUCGUCUCACUCCUAGAAGGAUGGGGUUUUUGUCAUCCUUGUGCUGCAUCUGUGUCCCCAUCCCGUGGUUUGCAGAGGACCACUCCAAGCAGAAGGCUCUGCCCCGCUGUGUUGACUGAAGCUGCACCUCUGGCAGGGAGCUGCGUGCUGAGCUGUGCGUGGAAAUAAGCAUUUUUCAUUGACAUUUAACACAGAAGCAGUGAUGGGAGGCAAAGAGAUCACCUUGUCUCUUUGCAGUGUCUUUUCUUUCUAGCUUUGUGCUAAAGGGAGCUCCUGUGCUCGGGAUCUCUCAGGUGGGAUCAGAAAGGGUGGUUUUCUCCCGGUCUGCACUGCAGUUCCACCCCCAAAAUGUGUUCAGUGCCUUUUUGCUGGGGAGACUGGGAGACAAGGCUGGCUGUUAGGGAAUUGCUUUGAUCGGGGCAAGUUCGUAAAGUACAUCUGAAGCUGGCGAACCAGAGAGCUUUUCAAAGAGUUACAAGCUGGUGCAUGUAACAGAUUUUAAGUUACAGCCUCCCGAACAAAGCGAACGCAUUCCCCCUGGAGGCAGGUGAGUCUGUAUGCCCUUUGAAAGCCUGCUUUAAACAGCAUUCAAACUUGGAUACCUGUGGCAACAGCACCGAGAGUAAUAAAUCCUCUGUAAGAUGAGGGUGUCUGUGUCAUUGGUGCUACAGGUGAGCUGCUGGAAGGUUUGAUGAGGGCGUGUGUGCAUGCAGCCGUGGGUCGGGAUCACAGCGGAGGCGGUGGGGUUGGCAGCAAUAGGUUUUCAGGCUGCAGAAUGGCAUUUGCAACUAUUUUGCCACGGCGAGGAAAAGAGAAGCUUUUAUUAGUAAGGCUGUAUCACGUUUCCCUACAAACAGCCUCGAGUCCCCACAUGUUUUGCUUGUGCUGAAGUGGGAGUGAUGGGGCCGUGCUUGCUAUUUUGAUACGUGAUGGAAGGCAGACGUGAGGGAUGCAAUAUGGGACUUGCUGUUUGGAACUGGCACUUCCCAUUGCAGCUUGUCCUUCGGGCUGCCUGUGUGUGUCGUGUGUGUGUCACCAAAGCAGGAGCUGCCACGGCGAGGAGUCGAUCCGAGCGUUCUGUUGGCAUCACAGCAUCUUCCAAAUACAAAUGACUUCUGGUUAUCAAAGGAAGGACAAAUCCCUUGUUAUAGACAAGACAAAGCCUGGAAAAAAGGAAUUGUCUGCUGCUCUGUGCAGCCCAGGAGUGUUUCCGUGCCUGGGUGUAGGAGGGCAACACCCCACGCUCCCUGCCUGGCCCUUCCAGUAACGGAGCCAGGAGGACUUUCAGGGAAGUUCUCCCAUGUGCUGCAGGCGGUGCUUUGAAGGGCUUUCAGCUGUGCUUUGUCUGGGUCUUCGGGAGGCUCCUGUUCUCCCUCCUCUCCCUGAUCUCACCCUGGAGUGGAUCAGGUUAAGGAUGCAGAAAAUAGGACUUGGAGGAGAAAAGGAAAAAAAAAAACAAAAACACAAAAACAUGAAAAUAAUCCUGAAAGUAGGGUUGGAGACGGGGAACGUGGGUCAGCAGGAAAUAGGAGGCAUGGGGAAACAAAAGGCUUCACCCCUACGUCCCUUCAGCCCAUCUCACACCCCUGUAACCCUGGCAUCACCCCAUGGGAUGCCUCCCGUGCCAGGUGCUCCUCCUGCACCUCUGCAGCUAAUAGGCAUCAAGACGGCCCUAUCAGUUUUUGUUCUUUUUCAUCAAAUCUGUUUCAUUUUUCCCUUGAGCUUUCCGUGCAGGGAGUGAGGCCAUCCCACAGGAGCAGGUUUGUGAUGGGUGCAGUGCAGGAGAACCAGAAAGGUGAUGCUCCAAGGUCAGCUCGGCGCUCAGAAGUCUCACUGCCAGCUUUGGUGUGCCUAGAUUUAGGGUGAGAGGGUGCACGCCUGCAGGGGAAGGAGAUUUUUACUCAUCUCCCACCCCAGGGAAGAGUCCUUCUGGCCAGAUUUGAGAUUUCAAACCAGAAGAGAGCCCAGGGAAUGUCAGGUGGUGCCAGAGAGCCAACACUGCACUGAGAUAAGCGACAGCUUUUGUUUAGAAACUGCAAAUGCGACACAGCCCUUGUUUAAGCUUUAACUUUGCCAAGGAGUUGGAGCAGUGCAACCAUCUCCUGCCAUGGAGCUUUCCCCUUCCCAAGAUGAGGCCAUGCAGACCUGGUGAAACUGCCUGCUUGAGGGCUCGUGAUGGGGUGAGUGCUCCUGUGCCUCACCUGGCGUAGAGCUGGAGUGGGAGUUCUCCUGCCUUUCAAAAGAAGCUGCACCUGCUUUCUUUUAAUAAAAGGAGGUGGUGCCUGAUGCUGUUGCAUUGCUUAGGCUGCUGUUGCCUGGAUCACAAGGGAUCCCGUUAAAAUGAUCAGCAGCAUGCUAAGGGUUUGGCAUUGGGAUGCAGGAGCUCUGCCUCAGCUCACCCCACGUCUGCCUGAGCAUUGGGCUGAGACCUGAACUUCUGUGUUUGAGAGGGGAAAAAGGUAGGUGCCAAAUGUGACUGUGGCUGGGAAGCCCUGCCAGCACUGGGUGCUCCUCAGCCCGCUCUUCCUAUCAUGUUCUGCUGGUGGGAGUAGGCAGAAAGCUUGCUUUUGGCUCAGCAUCCCGGCUCGAAGCCUUCCACGCUUGUUGUGCCCUUUCCAAAGGGGAGAGAUGGCUUUGGAAGGGACCCAACAGGUCUGGCAAGCGUUUCUGCUGGACCUUGCUGCUGCUAAUUUGGAAUUCUGCAUGCUCUGUAGGGGUGCUGUGCUCCAGCACAUGUCCUGCGUGUGACCGGUCACUGCCUAUUGCAUCCCCAUUGUUAAUGUUUGUAUGCAGUUAAACCAAAACUGGAAUUAAUGUUUGUUGUUUUUUUUUUUCAUUAGAGAUAGCAAGUGAGUGUCUCAAGGGGACAGAUCAGUGCAAGGUGCCAUUUUAUUACUCUGGAUGGGCUCAUCUCCACUUAGCUCCGUUAUCUCCAUGGUGCGAACGUGGCUGGAGGAUGCUGUACGUGCAUCUUAUCGACCCCCAAAAUCACUGUUAAAUGCAGUAUGCUUGCUGCUGUCCUCAUACAUGAGCAGACUGGGCCCCACGGGGUGAUGAUGCUGUUUGCAAGCACCGUUUUCACUAGUGGUGCAUUUUAUGCUUCAACUGGAGGAAAGCAGCUUUGACUUCCACGCUCACAGCAGUGAUAUGAUGUGUGUGUGUGUGUUUCCUGCCUGCUUGGAGCUCUGUGUGCAUGAGAAGAGAUCAUCACCUGAUAGGUCAUAGAAUCUCAGAACGGUUGGGUUGGAAGGGAUGUUGAAGAUCAUCCAGUUCCAACCCCCUGCUGAAGGCAGCAUUGCUGCCCACCAGAUCACAGUCCUCGACCCUCUUGGGAGCACAGUAUUUCCUUGUAGAUGGGGCAGAUGCAAAGUGGUCACCCAGCCCUGGGCUGGAAACGUGCCCAGGAACAGCGAGAGCCAAGCUGUGCCUGGAAAGCUCUUGGAACAGGCUUGGUACCUCUGCCCCUUGUCACGGGCAUUGCAGCAGGUGAGCACGGAGUGGCAGCUUGCUGGCAGUGGUUCUCUUCUGCCUUGGCUCUUGCUACUGUGCUCAGCCUGUUCUACCAGCUCUGGGUGCUGCAGGGUGGUGGGACGGUGCCAUCUGAUGCAGCUGUCUUAGUUAUGCCAAGAAGUUUGCCCACAUCUGCCUCUUGGAUUCCCAGCCGCGUGGGUUGGGAUUAGCCUGCCCUCUCCCAGCAUCUCCAAAUAGCUGAGACGUCCCAGGAGCACGGCGAGGGGGUGGCAGCCUGCGGGCUCACAGCUGCCUCCCUGAGAGCCCUGGCUAUCCCUUGUGUCACCAUGCAGCGAGGACGAGGGACCUGAGCAGCACUAGGCACAUGAAUUUACCCAAAACUAAUGGGCUUGAGGUGUGAGGAUGGGCAUCGUGCUCCAUAGCCAGCGGGAUGCACAAGCAAGAGGUUUGAAUGCAGGUGUCUCUUUGUGAGUGAUGUCUUCUGGAGGAGACAGGUGGUAUUUUAAUGCAUUUUGUUGGAUUGCGUUUUACACAUUGCCCGGAAAGCUGUGGGUGCUCCAUUCCUGGAGGAACCCAAGGCCAUGGGUGGACUAUGGGCAGCAUGAGCUGGUGGGGGGCACCCAGCAUACAGCAGGGGAUGGGGUGGGUGGCUCUGGGGUCCUUUCCAACCCUACCAUGCAGUGAUUUUAGGGCUGUUAGUUGAUGCUUGUGCACCUCCAAGCUGAGAUGAGGCUGCAUGGAGAUGCUCUCACUGCAGGUCUCAGAGACCCUCCUGCCAGAAGGUUCCCAAGUAUUCUGCAAGUCUUGAUUAGCACAUUAGUUUAAACAAAUUGAGUUAUAUAUGCCACACAGGGAAGAAAGGUACUGCGCUCCUUCAGUGUUGACUUAAAGUUUAAUUAAUUUUGUUGCCAAAUGAGGCAUGAAAUACAGUGUGAAAUACAUUGUGGUGCUGCAUGUGUAAUUGUAAGUGGGGCCGGCUGUGCGCCGGGGGUAGGAGAGCUCCGGAGGCAAGCGGUCUCAUGGCUCUGAAACCCAUAUCUGGCAGCUGUGGCGUGGCUGUGGUUGUGCCCAUGGCACUGAGCUGGGCUGGAGGGGACUGUCCCCAACUGCUGCCCUGGGGAUGUGAGACUGGGCCAGCCCCAUGCACAGCCCCGCUCUGCCCUCCAUGCAGUGCUGAACACAGUGCAGACUGACUUUGGGGCUGGAUGGGGGAGUGUUCCUCCUGGCUUUGGGGCUGGAUGGGGGAGUGUUCCUCCUGGCUUUGGGGCUGGAUGGGGGAGUGUUCCUCCUGGCUUUGGGGCUGGAUGGGGGAGUGUUCCUCCUGGCUUUGGGGUUGGAUGGGGGAGUUUUCCUUCUGGCUUUGGGAGGAUGGAGGAGUUUUCCUCCUGGCUUUGGGGUGGAUGGGGGAGUGUUCCUCCUAGCUUUGGGGUUUGAUGGGGGAGUUUUCCUCCUGGCUUUGGGGGGAUGGGAGAGUUUUCCUCCUGGCUUUGGGGAGGAUGGGGGAGUUUUCCUCCUGGCUUUGGGGUUGGAUUUGGGAGUUUUCCUCCUGGCUUUGGUGUGGAUGGGAGAGUUUUCCUCCUGGCUUUGGGGAGGAUGGGGGAGUUUUCCUCCUGGCUUUGGGGCUGGAUGUGGGAAUUUUCCUCCUGGCUUUGGGGGGGAUGUGGGAAUUUUCCUUCUGGUUGUGGAGGUUGUGGGUUUGUGUGGUUCCAGGGGAUGGAAGCACGUAGGGAAAAGUAUCAAAGGAGGAAGAAGGUGAGCAGCUGAGUGCAGGUUUCUUGAUUCAUCUUUUGAGGAUUUUCGGAGCGGUUUUGUCAGUGCCCUUCAGGAUGCUGUGCUGAACGUUUCUGGAGGGCAGCUGUCUUUGCAGCAGCUUAUAUCUCAUCGCCUCACUGCUAGAGCAGGUGGAUGCCAGGACACCUGCCUUUAUUUCCCUGCAUUUUUCAAUUAUCUCUCUCCAGGUAGCUCAGCUCCAAGACUAACAGGAGAAAAACCUGAGAACCUCCUGUCCAUCUGCUGUGAGCCCUGAGCAGCACAGCCCCACCUCCAAAGUGACCAGAGGCACCAUCUCUCUCUAAAUUUAGCUUGAGAUUGCGUCAGGAGCAAGAGGGAGGUGAAGUUAACGUGGCACAAGCUUUUUUUCCAGCAGGGAACCUUCAUAGUUAGGCAGGGACCGAAGAGAAAUGAAUGGCAUCGUUCCAGAGUGGCAGGAACCCACGUGAGUGGGUGGGUUUUGGUAACAUGCAGACUAAAGGGUGUUGUUUGCAGAACCCUGACCGGUCUUAAACAGGAAAAGCUUCCAGGAAAGCACGUGCUGCUCCCCGUGUCCUGCCUGCAGGUAGUGCUGUGUGUCAGAGGUGACACUUGUCCUGCAUAGCAGCCGGGUUUGUGACCACCUGGAGCCAUUCCUCUCCUUCUCCAAGGGGUUUGAAUCAUCAUCUGCUCUCAGGGAUGGCGAAUUGCUGUGAUUUUCACCUUCUGAGAGCCGUGUUGAGCUCUGUCAGGGUGCCAUUAGGGUCACCACAACGUGGCCCUGACUUUGGGCUUUGGGGUGAAUGGGGGAGUUUUCCUCCUGGCUUUGGAGGGGAUGGGGGAGUUUUCCUCCUGGCUUUGGGGGAGAUGGGGGAGUUUUCCUCCUGGCUUUGGGGGGGAUGGGGGAGGACUCAGCCACGCUCCUGCAGGAUCCAUCCUGACACAGAGAGCCGUGGAGGAUGCUGGUGUUGCUGAUCACUGUUGCCUUUCCCAGCGGUGCAGGGUCCCUGCCCCACUGUGCCCCCCAUUGCAGAGGACAGUUGUGUGACAAUGCAGAGUAGGGAGGUCCUGGGCCCCUUCUGCUUUUCAGAGGCAUAUUUUUAAAAGUGAGGUGGUCUCUCCUCCAAAGGCUUGUUAAUGCCCCAUUAACAUUGUUAUACAAAACAGCAGUGCGCCAUUUAAUUAGGAAAAAUACUACUAACCUCUACCAUAUGUUGCUCUUCUCCUCGUAUUUGCAUUUGAAAGUCCAGCUGAAUUUCAAUGUGAAACUGGAUUUUAUCCAAAUGAUGAAUGGCCUGAGAGGCGGUGGGAAGAUGGAUGUGCCUCCCUAUCAAAUGUCGUGGGUUUGUUGGGUUUUUUUUUCCUCUCUUUGAAAAAAAAAAAAAAGAAAGAAAUGAGAGCAGGAGAUGCCUUUAUUCCUCCUUGUACCGCGGUUCAACCUGCUCACACCUUUCCUCCCAUACCUUGCGUGGCAUUGUGCUGGUUCUGCAUCCCCCAAGCCUGAAAUAAAGGGAUGUAUUUCAAGUCCUGCUGCUCUCUUUUAGGCUUUGCCAUCUCCUUGGUUGACCUAAGGAAGAUAACAGUACCUACAGGCACUUCCAAAACACAAGCAAAGCACCCAGCUCUGCAGCACUUUGGCUCUGCAGCAGCACAUGGAGCUCCAAGUGGUCUUUGCUUCUUUGCUUUGUUUUCCCAGCCCAAACCAUCACUUGUCCGUGAGCAGCAGCUUUGGGCAGCACACAGCACUGCUGCUUGAAUUGCUGCAGGAGCCACGGAGCUCACAGCUCUGCACUGAACCAUGGGUUUGGGUGUUCUGUUGUUCUCCGAGUUCUUUUGCUCACAGCAAGCUCAGCAUUACCUCUCAGUAGCUCUCAGUGACCUUUGCUUUGCCUACCUGGCAAAAAAAAACCCAAAAAA